CCCCUCCAGCCUCCAGAGACGAGUUCCCGCCGCGGGGCCCGCGGGAGCAGAGCCAGCCGCGCCGGGGCGGGCGCGUCCAGGCAACCAGAUGUUUGCCAUCCAGCCAGGCGUAGCUGAGGGGGGCCAGUUCCUGGGGGGCCCACCUGGAGUAUGUCAGCCUGAGCUCCAACCAGACAGCAACUCCAACUUCAUGGCGAGUGCCAAAGAUGCCAAUGAGAAUUGGCAUGGGAUGCCAGGCCAGGUGGAGCCCAGCCUGAUGAGAGGCUCCUCUGAGUUGCCCUCUGACAACCAGGCCUUCCAGGCCCCUGGACUCCCUGAUGGGGAGGUCCGCAGCCCACCAGAGGGGGCAGAAAUCGCCGGAGCUGAGCUGGAGAAGAUGAGCGGCGCCAGCACAGUCUGCUCCCCUCUGGAGGACAACGGCUAUGCCAGCAGUUCCCUGAGCACCGACAGCCCCAGCAGCAGCCCUGAGCCUGUCUGUGGGACCCCUCGAGGCCCAGGCCCUCCAGAUCCCCUUCUGCCCUCAGUGGCCCAGGCUGUGCAGCAGCUGCAGGCUCAGGAGCGCUACAAAGAGCAGGAAAAGGAGAAGCACCAUGUGCACUUGGUGAUGUACCGUCGCCUGGCCCUGCUGCAGUGGAUCCGGGGCCUGCAGCACCAGUUGGUUGACCAGCAGACCCGUCUGCAGGAGAGCUUCGACACCAUCCUAGACAACCGAAAGGAGCUUAUCCGUUGUCUCCAACAGAGGGCGGUCCCAUCCAGGCCCCAGGAUCAGGGCUAAGGGUGUGCCUCCACAGGGGUGCAGGGGUACAUGUAUAUAUUUGUAGGCAUGUGUGUGGUUGUGCACAAGUAAGUACAUGAUUAUUGCUGGUAUGAGUGCAGGUAAGCAUGAGUAUGUACGUGCUAUCAUGUAGGCAGGUCCAGGCGUGUGUGAAUCAGCACCUGUGCAUCAGCUUGUGUGUGUCAUGCGUACACAUGAGCUCACUGAUGUGCAGGUCUGUGUGUGGGUGUGUACAUAUGUGUGUGUGUAGCAUGUAUGUAAGAGGGAGUAUGUUUGUAUAUGUAUGCAUGAACCAGGUGUCCAACAGUGUGUAUAUAUGUGCAUGAGUGAGGAUAUAUAUGCAAAAGGUGUGUGUGUGUGCAUAUGAAUGAGUUUGAGUGUGCAGGCUUGUGGUGGGUGUCUGUGAGUGAGCCCUUGUGUGUGCAGGCCUUUGUGUGCAAGUGCAGGCAUGGGAAGGGUGUAUUAGGAGCAUGGAUUUGCAGGCCGACUCACUAGCAGAUGUGUGCAAAUACAUAUUCAGUUGCGUAUGUCGGGCAUCCACACUCUGUGUUACCCAUUGUCAAUCCUAGCCUUUUUUUCUCCACAGGGUCCAAUUGUUCCCUGGAGAGAGGGCUAUCGUCAUUUAUCUGAGGGUUGUGCUGAUCCACUCUCCUGGGACUUCCCAGGCCACCUCUCCUAUUCCUUCCCCAUCACUCCUCCCAGACUUUGCUCUGCUGAAGCUGUUGUCCCUGAUGGUGGAUUUGCUGUAGGAAGUGUGGUGGCUGCUCUGGCCUGCCAUGGCUUUUUGAGCAAUUGGUAGAGAAUUAGUAUGAGGGAGGGAAGCUGGGGGUGGUGAUUGACACGUGGCAGGGAUGGGGGAUGGGAUCAGAGAAGAAGAUAAAGAGCUGUCCCUCUUGAACUCUGCCCUGGGGCACAUGGGAGAUGGGGAUGGGGGAGAUGAUAAGGGAGAUGAUAACGGCAGAACCCUGUGAAGAAUAGGAGAGUGGGAAUUCUAAAAUAUCAGUUUGAAACAAACAACCCUUCUCCACAGCAAAGGAGCUGUUGCAGACCAUAUUGAUUUCAGCUUCUGAUGAAAGCGAAUGUGUGCUUAUAAGCUUGCAAGGAAUCGGCAUGGUAUUCCAAGGCUGUUGGAAAAAAAAAAAUCUGUUUCCUCUCUGUGCCUCUACUCGCUGUGCCUUUCUGGCUUUAGCAACACUGGACGUCAAAUUAGGUUAACAACUUUAACCAUGGAGAUUUCUAACAAGGAGACAACGUCAAGCUCUCAGAGCACAAGACAGUGAAUUUUUAGAAGGGGCUCUUUCCUAAGUGUGUGAAGGCUCUUCUGAGCAUAGCCAGCAGUUAAGAGCACAGACUCUGAAACCAGACCCCUGGAUUUGGAUGUUGGCACCAUUGCUUUCUGUCUCUGUGACCCUUGGGAUUGUUUCCCCAAUCACAUUUUCUACAUCAUCGCAACCAUAAUGU